rnacentral:rRNA from 1 species
GACGAACGCUGGCGGCGUGCUUAACACAUGCAAGUCGAACGGUAAGGCCCCUUCGGGGGUCCACGAGUGUCGAACGGGUGAGUAACACGUGAGCAACCUGCCCUUGACUCUGGAAUAACAGUUGGAAACAGCUGCUAAUACUGGAUAUUCAUCGUCUCCUUCCUGGGGGGUGGUGGAAAGCUCCGGCGGUCAGGGAUGGGCUCGCGGCCUAUCAGCUUGUUGGUGAGGUAAUGGCUCACCAAGGCUUCGACGGGUAGCCGGCCUGAGAGGGCGACCGGCCACAAUGGGACUGAGAUAAGGGCCAGGAUCCUUCGGGGGGCAGCAGGGGGGAAUAUUUCACAAAGGGCGGAAGCCUGAUGCAGCAACGCCGCGUUGGGGAUGACGGCCUUCGGGUUGUAAACCGCUUUCAGUAGGGACGAAGGGUGACUGACGGUACCUACAGAAGAAGGACCGGCUAACUACGUG